rnacentral:rRNA from 1 species
UACGUAGGUGGCAAGCGUUGUCCGGAUUUAUUGGGUUUAAAGGGUGCGUAGGCGGCCUAUUAAGUCAGUGCUGAAAUAUCCCGGCUUAAACCGGGAGGGUGGCAUUGAUACUGAUGGGCUUGAGUAGAGUCGAGGUAGGCGGAAUUGACGGUGUAGCGGUGAAAUGCUUAGAUAUCGUCCAGAACACCGAUAGCGAAGGCAGCUUACUAAGGAGUAACUGACGCUGAGGCACGAAAGUGUGGGAGGU